CCCUGAUGCUGAUAGUUUGGAAACCCAUUUACACCCUACCACUAGAUCUACACUUCGUUCCCAUGCUGCUGCUCAUUCUGAUAUUCCCCACGGUGAUCCAUCAACUUAACAGAAGUUCCCAAGCUUCCUCAAAGAAAUAGCUACCUAUUGACAAACCCCGCC